AAUAGAAUAAGUAAAACGUUUUUGUUUAGAUGAGCCAAAUCAUAGGAAUCAGCUUUCAUCUAGGCCUGUGUUUUGUGAUGUGUCAUUUUUAGAUGCUUUUGGUUUGCCUCAUCCAUUAUGUCAGCAAAGAACAGGAGUGGGCAGGAAACAUGCGCUGUUGAAAACAUGGCCAACCAACUGGAGCACCCACAAGGCUCUUGUGAAGGAAGUCCACAAGCCUUUGUGCUUCAGGAUGGAUGGAAAGAACUCUUUGAUCAACCCCCAAAGAGAGCUGAGGUGGCUAUCUUUUGGAGACACCCCCGGCUGGUAGUGCUGCUGAAACUGGUGGAGGCAACAAUGAAGCGUCAACAGAAAGAGAAGGCAGGUGGCAAAGGUUGCUGCUAUUGAAAAAUACUUUGAGAGUGAGUAUGUGUGCAUGUAUGUAGCUGGGUAGGUCAUGGUACAUGGUACAAAAAUACAGAAUUUAAAGCACUUAACACUUAACUCACAACCCACAACUACUGACAAUGGAAUUACUCAUUUUAGAGUGAGUGAGUGAGGGAGAGAGACAGAAUAUUUCUGUAAAUGUUUAAUGUUAAUUUAGAAUAAUUUAUUUCUUUGAAUCAUUAUACAGUUUUAAAAUGUUAAAUUGUCGAUUGUUGUAGAUAAAAGUAGCUUGUAUAUUUUAACUUGUUUAAUUUCUAAAGUGUAUAUAUGUAAAAGCUUGUAUAAUUUUUAAAUGUUUGUUUUAUUUG